AAAAUAAUGAUAUUACCUUAUUAUUAGUGUCGUCCAAAUCUGGUGCCAGAAGACUCGGUAAGGCCAGAGACACAAAUGUUAAUCGUCUUAAUCAGGCGUAAAGGGUUUGUAGGCGGCUUUAAAAUUUACUUAACAAACAAACAAAAAUAAUUUAAAAUUAAUAAGUAAAGAAUAAAAGCUAGAAUCAAAUAGAGGAUAUAUGAAAGAAUGCUUAGAGUAGGUCUGAUAUCCUUAUAUACUAAGUAGAAUAUUAAAGGCGAAAGCUUUUUUCCAUUAAUGAUUGACGCUCAGAAACGAAGGUGAGGAUAGGAAAUAGGAUUAGAUACCCAGAAUACUCCUCUCUGUCAACGAUGAAUGGUAGUUAUUAGUAAAAAAAUUUAUUAAUGGCAAUGUUAACACGAUAACCAUUCCGCCUUGUGAGUACAAUUGCAAAGUUGAAAACAAAAAAAUUAGUCGGUUUCGGAGCAAACGAAGUGAAGCAUGUUAUUUAA
rnacentral:rRNA from 1 species